rnacentral:rRNA from 1 species
GAUGAACGCUAGCGGCAGGCUUAACACAUGCAAGUCGAGGGGUAUAGUUCUUCGGAACUAGAGACCGGCGCACGGGUGCGUAACGCGUAUGCAAUCUACCUUUUACAGAGGGAUAGCCCAGAGAAAUUUGGAUUAAUACCUCAUAGUAUGUGAGAAUCGCAUGGUUUUCACAUUAAAGUUCCAACGGUAAAAGAUGAGCAUGCGUCCCAUUAGCUAGAUGGUAAGGUAACGGCUUACCAUGGCGACGAUGGGUAGGGGUCCUGAGAGGGAGAUCCCCCACACUGGUACUGAGACACGGACCAGACUCCUACGGGAGGCAGCAGUGAGGAAUAUUGGGCAAUGGGCGCAAGCCUGAUCCAGCCAUGCCGCGUGCAGGAUGAAGGCCCUCGGGUUGUAAACUGCUUUUGACAGGGAAGAAAUCACUUAUGCGUAAGUGUCUGACGGUACCUGUAGAAUAAGCACCGGCUAACUCCGUGCCAGCAG